AGUGAACGCUGGCGGUAGGCCUAACACAUGCAAGUCGAACGGCAGCACAGUAAGAGCUUGCUCUUACGGGUGGCGAGUGGCGGACGGGUGAGGAAUACAUCGGAAUCUACUUUUUCGUGGGGGAUAACGUAGGGAAACUUACGCUAAUACCGCAUACGACCUACGGGUGAAAGCAGGGGAUCUUCGGACCUUGCGCGAUUGAAUGAGCCGAUGUCGGAUUAGCUAGUUGGCGGGGUAAAGGCCCACCAAGGCGACGAUCCGUAGCUGGUCUGUGAGGAUGAUAGGCGACAUGGGAGGGGGGACGCGGACCAGGGGCCUGCGGGAGGCAGCAGUGGGGAAUAGGGGACAGUGGGCGCAAGCCUGAUCCAGCCAUACCGAGUGGGUGAAGAAAGCCUUCGGGUUGUAAAGCCCGUUUGUUGGGAAAGAAAAGCAGCAGGUUGAUACCCCGCUGUUCUGACGGUAACCAAUGAAGAAGCACCGGCUAACUUCGUG
rnacentral:rRNA from 1 species